GUCAGCGCAUGAAAUUGCUUGGAGUGAAGCUCGUGACGUAAGAGCGAUGGGACCUGUAUAUAAAGACACCCAACCGCUCUGCUUUCGAAUGUUCACGGAAGUCCUCUGCAGCCUGUAUUCUACAGUAUAGGUCUAUUUAAAUCAUGUUGAAAUCGAUUUCAAUGAAGACACUUGUUACGCUGCUGGUGGCGUGUUUCAUUUUGAUGGCAUCGUCACCAAACUUGAGGGGAGCUGAAGCUCGUUAUCUUAUGACUCGAUCUGAUCCAUUGCUGUCACCCGUUGGUCCUCCUUACGGCAAAGAUCCACGUUUUGAUCGCCUCUACGACAUCAUUACAAAGCUUCUUCGAAAUGGCGGUGGCGACUUGGAAUACCAAAUCAAAAGUCAGCUUGACAAUGGACCGUAGGCAACU